AUGUCUGUUCUUUGUACAAAAACUUAAAUCGGAGGGAGAUAGUCCCGAGUGUAUCUGCUCGUUGGACUUAUCCUGCAGUUGCUGUGUCCACAGGGAUUUUUUUCUGCAAAAGUCUACGAAAUUCUGCAUGGUAUUGCAACUAAUGACCCGGAAGCUCUUUUUUACAAUGAAUGGCGUGUCCCUAGGGGAAGUGGAGCUAACGGUCGUUUCGCCGCAAAAGAAAUGCGGAACCCUGAAGAAAGAACCCCUAUUGAUCGUCUGUGUGGAGUAUUCAUUUCCAGGCCUGGGUUUGCAGCUGUGUGCCACAGUCCAGACGAGUACGACGCUCCACAAGCUGCCAUGUCUGCGAAGACAGUUGGUUUUGCCGGGCACGAAGAAAUGAGUGAUACAAGUAGGUUUAAGUAACACAAUAAAGUUCAGGCGAGUCUAAUGUAUAGUAUAAUGAAUCGGAGCACUAAUAACCGCCGAUGGCAUAACAAAUGGGUAUAAAAGCAA